rnacentral:lncRNA from 1 species
AGCUUCUUCACCCAGUAGUCUGGGUGCAUGACUCCUGGGGCAGGAGGCCCCUCCUCCAGGAAACUGGUGGCCUGCUCCUCUCCUAGCAGGAGGACCAGUGGGAAUUUCCAGUGUGACCACCCAUCUCACACCUGGAGCUUUUCUGUUGCUUGUGGGGCAUUGGAGACAAGAGACAGGUGAAGUUUUAUAGCUUUUGCUACAUUUAUCAGCUUGUACUUCAGAAACAUUGAGUCAAGUUAAAGUGAUACCAGCAAGGAGCUCAGACUCCAACCAGUUGAAUAUGUAUUUGGCAAACGCUGGGACUGCGAUCACAUGGAAUGUGUGCCUGUCCCAGUUUCUCUCCUCCAGGGCAUCUCUGGCAGAGGAGUCCCUGCCAGACAGCCAGACUCUCACUGCACUCUCCAACUUUUAAGGUGAUAAAAUUACAUUGAAGUGACUCUGAGAUGCUAUCAUUGUUUAUUAAAAGUCCGUGUCCAAACAGCGGC